UCACAGUGGGGGCCUCGGGGCUGAGCAGCCAGCCAGGGGGAUGGAGCGCCUGAAGCGCCUCAAAGUUCCCAAUCUGCCUGGCAGAGCUCGCUCAGCCAGCCUUGUCCAGCUCUCCCCUCCCCCGCGCACCAAGCUCCGUGUAAGCCCCGCCCCUUCAGCAGUCCUCUCGCUGCUGCUCGGAAGCCUCUCAGACCGCCUGCCUUUCCUCCAUCACAGAGCGGCUGGACGAGGAUCCCGUCCUCCACAAACGGCCGGAAUGUCAGUCUCUCAAGCACUCCGCCUGUCUGAGCUCCCCAUCCUCCAGAGCACCACACAAGGUUCAAGGUGGAAAGAAACUUAGAAUAAAAUGAAGCAUCCCAGCCUCGAGUUUCAGCUGUGCCGCUAACCAGCUUAAUAAUACAGUUGAGUCAGGACUCUGGCCCUGCGAGUUUCCUCAUCUCUGAAAACCUGCUAAAAAACUUCGUUCUCUAUUAAAAGAUUCAUGCAAGCACCACUACAAUCAAGAUACAUAUUGAUAUCUAGCAUAUGUAAGGAAGUCACAUACCUCAACAGCAAAAAAAACCAAAUAAUCUAGUUAAAGAAUGGGCAAAGGACCUAAAUAGAUAUUUUUCUGAAGAAGAUAUUCCAACAGCCAACAGGUACGUGAAAAGGGUCUCAACAACACUAACCAUCAGGGAAAUGCAAAUCAAAACCACAAUGAGAUAUGACCUCACACCAACUAGGAUUGCUGUUAUGAAAAUGACAAGAGUUAUCAAUUGCUGGCAAGGAAGUGGAGAAAAGGGAUCCCCUAUGCACUGUGGGAAUAUAAGUUGGUACAGCCGCUACGGAAAACAGUAUGGAGAUUCCUCCAAAACUUAAAAGUAGCACAUGAUCCAGCAAUUCUACUUCCAGGUAUGUAUCUGAAGGAAAUGAAAUUACUCUCUCAGAGACUUAUCUUCACUCCCACGUCAUUCGGCAUUAUUUACAAAAGCCAAGGCAUGGAAACAACCUAAGUGUCUAUCAACAGAUCGACAAGAAAAUGCUGUAUGUGUAUGUAUCCUGUGUAUACUUGUGUGUGUGUAUGUGUAUGUAUGUAUAAUGGAAUAUUCAAACAUAAGAAAGAAGGAAAUCGUGUUGUUUGUGGAAACAUUCAUGGACCUUGAAGGUUUUCUGCCAAGUGAAAUAAGUCAGACAAAGAAAGAGAUUUAUGUAUGAUCUCACUUAUGUGCGGAAUCUAAUAAGAAAACCUGAACUUAGAACGAACAGAUUGGUGGUUAUCAAAAAUGGGGGCAAGGGUUGUGCAAAAUGUGUGAAAGUAGUAGAGAGGUACAAACUCCCAGUUAUAAGUUAAAUAUAUUCUAAGGCUGUAACCUACAGCAUGGUGACUACAGCUAAUAAUUAUGUCAUGUAUUUGAAAAUUGCUAGGAGAGUAAACCUUAAAAGUUCUCAUCACAAGGAAAAAUAAUUGAAACUAUGUGAGAUGAUGGAUAUUAACUAAACUCAUUGUGGUAAUCAUUUUACAAUAUAUACAUGUAUCAAAUCAUUAUGUUGUAUACCUUAAACUCAUACAAUGUUACAUGUCAA